CCCGCCCCCAAGGACAUAAUAAUAAAAUGAGGCAAUGUGUCAAAAGGAUCUUACAUAAUGGGUCCUGAUUGCUUUGCCCCACAGGCUGCCUGCCCAUUAGGUGUGAUUCAUGAACUGCAAGACCACUGGAGGAAAGCAGUUCCUGCCAGAAUACUCUACAGUUGAGCUGAACCACAGGCAAACUACCAGAACCAGAAGUCCGCAAUGCUCAUUUGCAUAGUAAAGAGCUAUGUUGGGGUAUACCAUUGAUGGCCAGCAGUACGUCUAUUAAUUCUCAACAACCAUUGAGAGGCAUCGAAUGAUCGUGGAUGUCUAACAAGGUCCUGGAACAAAGUUCCGAAUAUUAUGGAUCCUCGUGUUAAUCCUAAUUAGAGCCCUCCUAUGAAUCCUGUGUUCCAGUUUUGUAUGUUUCUUUACAUCCCUCUAAGAGGAAAGUGGUUACAGAUGUACCCUUUACAACAGAAGUCAGUGCACUGUGGCUCACCGGUUAAAAAUGAACCACCACCUGUGUUCACAUGGCCCUCAAAGGUAAGAAUGGUUCUUAGCUUUAAAAUUAUUUAACUAUAAAACUAUAAAAACAUUCAGAUUUCAGUGUCCAUAAAUAAACUUUUGUGGGAACACAGCCAAGCUCAUUUAUUUACACUUUGUCUACACUGCUUUGAUGCUACAGUAGCAAUGUUGCGUAGUCGUGACAGAAAUUAGAUGGCCCGA